rnacentral:rRNA from 1 species
GUGUCAGCAGCCGCGGUAAUACGAAGGGUGCUAGCGUUGUUCGGAAUGACUGGGCGUAAAGGGAGCGUAGGCGGUUGAGUACGUUUGGUGUGAAAGUUCUGGGCUUAACCUGGGGACUGCAUUGAAUACGGCUUGACUUGAGGUAUAGAGGGGAAGAUGGAAUUGUGUGUGUAGAGGUGAAAUUCGUAGAUAUACACAAGAACACCAGUGGCGAAGGCGAUCUUCUGGCUAUUACCUGACGCUAAGGCUCGAAAGCGUGGGGAGCAAACAGGAUUAGAUACCCCGGUAGUCC